GAGGAUUUUGUUUUGUAGGUGCUUUUCACCGAUGAUAGGCGACAGGAGAUUGGUCGCAACAGAUUGACAUGUUAGCAAGGGGGCUACUACAAUCAACCAUGCUAAAAAUCAGAGCUCAACACUCGACUGGAUCGGUGAGACAGUCUUCCCAUCGAAAAAAUAUUUCUCCCCCACCUCCAUUGGCAGAGUCCAGUUCUUCGUGUCUUGUGGUCACUACAGACGUACAAAUUGCUGCACUCAUACAGUAAAUGAAGACUUUGACGGAGGUGGUUUAAAGCCUCCAAUAGCAGCAGCCACUGGUAGAGCAGUCGAUGGCUCAGUCAGUGCCAUCUAGGCACAGUCGUUGUCCAUCAUGGUGCUCACUCUCC
rnacentral:lncRNA from 1 species